CCUUGGCCGCAGGUAGCCACCCCACGUAAGGAGUCCGAUGCCGAGAGAUCAGGUGGAGGAGAGCCAACUGAGGCGUUUCCCACAUCGGGAUCGAGAGCGUCUGACGGCACAGCUCAUCUUGGACAUUGUGCAACUUAACAUUGGAGCAGAAGGCCGCUUGGAACUCACCUGUCUCUCCACAAUCCCAGCAUUCCUAGAGCCUGAGCAGAGCGAGUAUGCCGACAGAAAGACGAGUUCAGUAACAGUGGACAUCGAAGUGCCCCUGUCCAGUAGUCACGUUGACUCCUGCUCGGCAAUGCUGAUCGUGGGAUCUCUAUUCAUCCUUCUGCGGUGAAGUUACCAGCUCCAGUGCAUCUUCGGCGUUCAUAACUUGCUGGUGACCCAAAGUGUUUAGCCCCAUUGCUCCCAUGAUGUGAGAGAACUAUCGUUGUUCACCUCUGAGUUAGUAGGCUGAACGAGUGCAAGUUGCUUUAAAUAUCUUGGACUUUAUCCAUCCUCUAGAUCAGUGUUUCUCAUCACAUCGGACUGGUGGGACGUGACGGUCAGCUUGAGUGGAUGGGCACGAGGUCUCGAAAAUGAUACAUAAUUCAAGUAUAAAAUUCAGUUAUAUUAAUGCCUCUCCCUUUCUCCCUGUUAUGGAAUAUUUUCAUGUAAGAUAUCUUGAAAAUACUCGAGUAAGAUUACACAAAAUCAUUGUAAGCAAAACUAUAUUGUUAUAUAAUUUUAAUCACAAGAUAUUUUUAAAAAUUCUUACAAUCAUGAAGUACUCGAGAACUACUUUGAGUGAUUUAUUAUGACACUACAAUGCACCUCCACGUAUAAGAACAUUUCUUGGCAAAAAGGAAGCUUUGUGCUUGUUCGGGUGGGACAGUAGUUUCUUGACGGAGAGACAAGUGGGACACAGCUGUAGGCAAAUGAGAAUCACCGAUCUAGAUAUUUUUCCGCACCCCGCUUUUGGGGAUUGCUUCCAUGUUGGUCUGCAGGGGAUUCCUAGUGAUGGAAUUACCAAAACUUUGGUUACCUCAGAUUAUUGUUGCCAGAAGACAGAAACAGAUGCAACUUCUAAAGCCUAUAUAAUUGACAAGUUCAAGUAUGACAUAUUACUUUCGUAAACAUAGAGCAAUGAAAAAUCCACGUCCUUAAAAUAGAUCCUUUAUUUCCAUAAACUCUGCACUGUCGCAAGUGGAAAUGUACAAGAAUACACUGUUCACUGUGAAAAGGAUUUUCUUGGAAGUACCACAUUUUCAUUCAGUUACGUAAUGCUUUUCUAUUAAUCUACUCCAGUGAUCUCAGUUUCUACCUCGCCCAAGUGUUUACAGUCAGUGGAACAUCUGCAGCAUUUCAUGGAGCUUUAAUUUACAUCAUAUCUUUAAGGAUAAAUGCCUAGUACUAUCUUGCUUCAAAGUUUAAAAUAUCUCUCUUUAUACAUUGUUCCAGCACCUAAUAACGGAGACCCUUCAGCUAAGCGGGUCAAGAUGAACAAGCAUUAUUUAGUCCUUUUCAUAAGAUGGUGCAAUUUUCUCAGAGAGGAAUGAAGGGUUUGAUACAAAUAUCAUGAAAUUGGGAAUGGGAAAAAUUCGUAAAUAAUAUAUUCAUGCAUAUGAAUAUGAAACUAAAAUAUAUGUUUUAAAAUAAAUUCCGUUAUAUUUUUGGGAGACAUAACUCUUGCAUUUCUACUUCAAUGUUAUUGUCUUUAUUAAUUAAACUUGACUAUCAAACUAAUUUUAACCUAUGACCUUUGUGUACUUUAAACUUUAUCGUCUUCUCGCACCAAUUCCAGAAAACAAUGUUAUGGAACAUACUGUGGCAAGACGCAAAUAAAUCAGAAUUUGACGUUAGAGAAGCGUCGCGAAGACGUUCACUGCUACUCAGGACAAUCCUAAAACACUUCUCAGAGGCAACGAAUACAAACACAGCAGUAAAAUAUGGUUGGGACUGUGUUUUCACAUCUGUUUCCAACGGAACCAGAACCCUGCUCAACUGAUACUACUGCAAGAGUCCGACAUGGAAAAGAGGAAAGAGAAAAUCUACCUCCGAUAUACUAAAGACCACGGCAGGUGGCAGAGGGUAACUCAUUUGCGCCACUCGUGGACAUGCUCAUGGAAAAUGUGGAUGCGAGCAGAGAGGGAGGCUCUGAUGUUACGUCUGCGGCUGGUAACGGUGUGAGCAUGCGUAGGCCACCCCCAUUUUUAUCUUCGGAGACCGAAUUAAUUAGUCUGCAAAGCCAAGUAGAUUGCAUGGCUUGUGUGACUAUGACCAUAAAGGUAGCAUAGAGGCUAGAGUCUACCGUUGAUGAAGACAUGUGAGUGAAAUUCCGGCCCCGUGACUUCACAAAUAAAUACACUACCUGAAAUUGGGAAAGGCCUGAGGUUUUGAUGGCAUUCCAAAGGAAUGUCUCAAACACCUUCCAAGAAGACCAUUUCUUCAUUCAGCAAUUUUUAUUCAACUGUAGUGUUCGGCUUUGUCACUGCUGGAAACUGGCAAGGACCCCCAAAUUUCCCUAAGUUCUGGGUCCUGUAAACUUUUGUCUACCGGUAAAUUAUUUUAAGGCAAUGGUUUAAGAACAUUAUAUAUACACAUACAUAUUGAGAAACGAAAGAUGUCAAAAGCAAGUCAGCUUGGCUUUGGGCAUUUCACAGCAGAUUUCUUCAGUGUAUGAAGCUGACCGGCCGCGCAACUCAAAAUCAGCCUGAAUAUGUAGACUGCUGCGGCAUUUUCUGAUGUCGAGAAACACUCUUGACACACCUUAGGAAUGUAGCCUACUACAGAAACCAUUAGAAUUACGAUUUUCUACAAACUUUAAUAGGCUAAUUGCCUCUCUUCUCAAUAAUGUAAUAUUUAAAAUCCCCCCAGAAGAUGAAUUAUAUUGAUACUGGAAAUAGAGUCAGGGUGCCUCAAGCCUCCGUCCUGGACCCGGUAUUGUACAGUCUAUAUAUAAAACGAUGCCCCAUUGACAAAUUGAACUCAUCGUCCUCGGUUCGCAGGCUUUAUCUCUACAAUGAGCACCAGAGAAGCAUGAACGUCAAGUUCUCUGCAAAUUGCAACGCGGCCUCACUGCAGUGAAGUCGUGAUAUGAGAGCUUGGACAUAAGCUGUAUCAGUGGGAAAAUCAGGCGAUCUAUUUCUCUAGAAGCCAUACAGUCCCUGAAGACGUUCUGUAACAAAGGGGACAGAAUAUCCACUUUGUAAAUAAUGUAAAAUCUCUUGGUGUCAUCCCGGAUAGGAGGAUGACAGGGGGACUCCAUAUGAAAGGAUUGUGCUAAGGCCGUAGGAACAUUCAAAGGACCUAUGUCCUAUUAAAAUAUUCGUUUAAGCAAUAAUAUUAAUCUUAUUCAGUAAUGGUUUAUACCUGUCCCACCUGAUAGCAUGCGGUGGACGCUCAUUUCGUGAAGCUGCAGCGGGUGCAGAACUGAGUUCUUCGCGCUGUUCGCAAUAGUGACAAGCGCACACCGGUUCGCGAAAUGCACACGACAUUCAAAAUUAUUUCCGUGUAAUAUUACAUAACAAAAUUGUGCAGGAAGAAAACAGAAGCUAACGAAGGCCAGCAGUAAUUUAUCUGUAACCAGAGGCAGGGGUCGUGAGAAAGAGAGGAAUAUGGCCAUGGGUUCCUCGGGCCCCGGACAGAAGAAUGACUUCUGACGAAGUCAGCAGCGAUUUACUCGACAUAACCAAAAGCUUAAACCGUCGAAGACGGAAAUUUUAGCGAAACUACUCCUUGCUAGGAGCCGUAACCGAUCAACAAGUGCGAGAAGAUAUGGCAGACUGUGACAGGAAACAUUCUUUAGUAUUUUGAAGAUUUUGAAGAUAGGAAGAUUUUCGUGAUCGUAUUCAGUUAAAUUCAUUUGUCACUCCGCACCCUGUGUUUAGACACUGACACGCGACAAAUGUUGUCAGAAGUUGCAUUUAAUUAAGUCGUUGGGAUUUGAUUCGAACCGGCUGAAGUGUAUUCCUUUUACCGGCUUUGUAAAUGAUGUAUUAAUAUCAAAAUUAUCAAUUUCUACUGAAGUUGGAGUUUUGUUCACCUUCUGAAAAAUUCUGUUGCCUGUGUAGUUCUUGUUAGCACGCAGAACACAUUGCUUUGAUAUGUGCGAGCACAGUCCUGGCUUCUCCAUAUAAAAUUACCUCAUAGUUUGAAUUCAGAGAUGAAAGGUACUCAGAGUACUGUCUAGUCAUCUCUGAUUUAGAGUUGCAACCCAUCAUUAAAGUGUAUCAUGAUUAUUUAUUUUUGACGAAUAUUUAAACAUUAUUUUAUUUAUUACUGUAUUCGUAAUUACAUCCUCUGUGUAAACGUUGCAGAUAUGUUCCACAGAUGCAGUGAGAUGUGUAACGUGGCGUCGUUGAUAUAUUUGUCAUGCAGUUAAAGUAAUCUGUGAUUGAUUAUUACAAUUAUUAUUAUUAUUGUAAUUGUUUUAAAUGUUGGUAAAUGUUAUAUUCUGUUUCUGAUAUUUAUUCUUGUUUGUUUCAUUAAAAUAUUCAUAUUCAUGUAUUUCUAUAUUGAUAUGAAAUUGCUCAAAAUCAGUUUGUUUGUAAGACAUACAAUGACAGUUAUCAGACACACUGUUACACACUAACUGCAGAUUUCCUGCAAUGGCUACAGAACAAGAAUUCUUCAACAUGCCCACGCGAGAUCACAAAGCUUUAUGAAUAAUAUUUCUUAUGUUGAGACGAUAUCAAAUUAAAGCUUGCGGGUUUCACGGUUAUUAUUAGUAAUGUGGCGCGUACAGCCUUUGCUAUGUAUAAAGGUAAUAAACAGUGAUCAUUUCUAGGCAACGGCUCGGUAAACAUGUUCCCGCUGCAAGGAAUACGAAAAAAAACAAUAGAAGAACGUUGUUUUUUAUGUGGUCCGUGCCGAGAAGAUGUAAACAGGACAGAUGGAGCUAUGAGUACAGUAGAGAGAAAGUUCUGCACGGGAGGCUAUGUAGCGCGUGAUUCUAAAGAAUUUCUGCUGUCAGAAGUCGUUGCCAGACAACGGCUGGAAAACAAUUAGCGUGUGCUGACUGUCAUUUGUGAAGUGCGGUGAUAAGGUUGAGCUGUAAUUGCUUGUAGUUCCGAUUGGUGUGUAGAAGUGGUCAAUAAAUUCAUUCACCAAUCGAAACCCAGUCUAUAGUCACCCUUACACGUCAUAUUGUGUCAGAAGUGGGAUUCGAACCCACGCUUACAAUUUAUGAGACGUUAAGUUUAGGAGCCGAUCAGCUCAGGCGGCACGGCGAACAGAACAUGGGAUGGAGGAACAAGGAAUUGGGUUUGAUUCACAGGGUCAGAAAUGCGUCCCUUCUCCGUAGCGCAUGCGCUGGAACUCACCCGGUCUCCUCACCAUUCUGUGCCGAGGGUCCUGUUCCCUGGGAUAUAGCUGCCGGGAAUUGAAGCUGGCCUCUCGACGCCAAUUCAAAAGUUGAGAAUAUAUGGAACGAUACCUCCGCUCCCCAUAUGUCUGUGGCAUGGUGCUUAAUCAAGUGCAGGAAAAGCUUCAACUAUUGGAAUACUUUGGUUGCUACAAGUUCCAUAAGUUUUGACUUUAAUAUGCUCAGCAUUUUGCCAACAGUGUAUUUAUGGUUUUAUAACAAAUCUCGCAAUCAGCAGCUCUCAUUUCUUUCUAUAAUAUUAGCCAAUCGAUUCUUGUAGUGGAAGGUAACUGUGAUUUCUGAGACGCAGAAACUGAAUUUCUUAAUAAUCGGAUGGCAAUUAAGUUCAAAACGGUGUAGGUAGAUAUAUUAUAACAUUCAGACCGACCAGUUGACGUAAUUAAAUAUUUUUUGAUCAUUGAGAUUCUUAGGUCAAUUUGAUUUGAUCUGCUUAUGGGCACUUAUAUUUGCAAUAGAAAAUCCUUCAUUACCUGGAGUCUGCAGUUAGUGGGAAUGUAAUGCAAUGUGUCUAGAAUUGUACUGUAAUGUGCUGAAUAUUGUAUGGUUUAUCUGUAAGCUUAUACUGAACACAUUACGGUUUGAACAAUACUAGAAUUUGUAUCUGUCUGAGCAGCGCAAAAAAUACAGGCGCAACUUUUGUGUUUGUCGUGUGUAAUACUCUCAAGUGUUUGUGUGGAAGAAAAAGAUAGCACAAUGCCUGUAAAGUUCUGGAACUUUAUCUGUGUUGGGGGAGAUUCACUUCUGUAUCCUGGCUACAUUUCAGAAGUACAGUUUUAUUCAGAAAUGCAAGAAAUACUUAACAAAUGUCUAUGUCAUGUGUGGAAUACGAAAUCAGCAAACUGUGAAACAGAAUCAGAUAAACGCUUGCAUGUUUUAUCUCAGAUUCGAAUUUGAUUGAUAUUAAAGAAGCUGCAUGUUUUGACUUUGUCAAAUUCGAAUUAAAUUAAAAAGAGGAAUAUGGUUUAGAUAUUAUUUAAUUAUUAUGAAUCGCAUUUAUGUUUGUUGAAUCAUUGAAUUCUUGAAGAUAUGAGUAUAUAUCUAGGGUACACCCUAUGAAAUGAUUGACGUAUGCAUGUGAAUGUUGAACAUAAAGUUUAUGUUGCGUAACAUGAAAGCGAUGUGCUGGUUGUUAGUCUCCAAUCAUUUCAUCUGUCUUAGAAUAUCUUUAAAUGUUAGCCUGUGGAAAACAAUUUACUCCUCGAGUUAUGCAUUUAUUACUGUGAACCAGCGAAACCCAGUGUGAAGUGUUACAUGUCCGUCUGUAUGAGCAAGUAACAUUUUCUUGUUUACACA